ensembl:Y_RNA Y_RNA Y RNA
GGCUGGUCCAAAAGCAGUGAGUUAUCUCAACUGAUCGUUUACGGUCAGUUACAGAUCGAACUCCUUGUUCUACUCUUUCCCCCCUUGUCACUACUACACUUGACUAGUCUUUA